rnacentral:rRNA from 1 species
CUACGGGGGGCUGCAGUGGGGAAUUUUGCGCAAUGGGGGAAACCCUGACGCAGCAAUACCGCGUGAGUGAAGAAGGCCUUUGGGUCGUAAAGCUCUUUUCUUGGGGAAGAUAGUGACGGUACCCAAGGAAUAAGCACCGGCUAACUCCGUGCCAGCAGCCGCGGUAAUACGGAGGGUGCAAGCGUUGUUCGGAUUUACUGGGCGUAAAGGGCACGUAGGCGGCACAGCAAGUUAAGGGUGAAAUCCCGGGGCUCAACUCCGGAACUGCUCUUAAAACUGCUGAGCUAGAGAUAGUCAGAGGCGGGUGGAAUUCCAGGUGUAGAGGUGAAAUUCGUAGAUAUCUGGAGGAACACCGGUGGCGAAGGCGGCCCGCUGGGGCUAUUCUGACGCUAAGGUGCGGAAGCGUGGGGAGCAAACGGGAUUAGAUACCCUUGUAGUC